rnacentral:rRNA from 1 species
UGGGGAAUUUUGGACAAUGGGCGAAAGCCUGAUCCAGCCAUGCCGCGUGCAGGAUGAAGGCCUUCGGGUUGUAAACUGCUUUUGUACGGAACGAAAAGCCUCUUUCUAAUAAAGAGGGGUCAUGACGGUACCGUAAGAAUAAGCACCGGCUAACUACGUGCCAGCAGCCGCGGUAAUACGUAGGGUGCAAGCGUUAAUCGGAAUUACUGGGCGUAAAGCGUGCGCAGGCGGUUUUGUAAGACAGAGGUGAAAUCCCCGGGCUCAACCUGGGAACUGCCUUUGUGACUGCAAGGCUGGAGUGCGGCAGAGGGGGAUGGAAUUCCGCGUGUAGCAGUGAAAUGCGUAGAUAUGCGGGGGAACACCGAUGGCGAAGGCAAUCCCCUGGGCCUGUACUGACGCUCAUGCACGAAAGCGUGGGGAGCAAACAG